UACGUAGGGCGCAAGCGUUGUCCGGAAUUAUUGGGCGUAAAGAGCUCGUAGGCGGUUUGUCGCGUCUGCUGUGAAAACCUAAGGCUCAACCUUGGGCUUGCAGUGGGUACGGGCAGACUAGAGUGCGGUAGGGGUGACUGGAAUUCCUGGUGUAGCGGUGGAAUGCGCAGAUAUCAGGAGGAACACCGAUGGCGAAGGCAGGUCACUGGGCCGCAACUGACGCUGAGGAGCGAAAGCCAGGGGAGCGAACGGG
rnacentral:rRNA from 1 species